GACGAACGCUGGCGGCGUGCCUAAUACAUGCAAGUAGAACGCACAGUUUAUACCGUAGCUUGCUACACCAUAAACUGUGAGUUGCGAACGGGUGAGUAACGCGUAGGUAACCUGCCUGGUAGCGGGGGAUAACUAUUGGAAACGAUAGCUAAUACCGCAUAAUAUUGAUUAUUGCAUGAUAAUUGAUUGAAAGAUGCUAUUGCAUCACUACCAGAUGGACCUGCGUUGUAUUAGCUAGUAGGUGAGGUAACGGCUCACCUAGGCGACGAUACAUAGCCGACCUGAGAGGGUGAUCGGCCACACUGGGACUGAGACACGGCCCAGACUCCUACGGGAGGCAGCAGUAGGGAAUCUUCGGCAAUGGACGAAAGUCUGACCGAGCAGCGCCGCGUGAGUGAAGAAGGUUUUCGGAUCGUAAAGCUCUGUUGUAAGAGAAGAACGGGUGUGAGAGUGGAAAGUUCACACUGCGACGGUAUCUUACCAGAAAGGGACGGCUAACUACGUG
rnacentral:rRNA from 1 species